rnacentral:rRNA from 1 species
GACGAACGCUGGCGGCGUGCUUAACACAUGCAAGUCGAGCGGAAAGGCCACUUCGGUGGUACUCGAGCGGCGAACGGGUGAGUAACACGUGAGUAAUCUGCCCCUGGCUUUGGGAUAGCCACCGGAAACGGUGAUUAAUACCGGAUAUGACCAUCUUUCGCAUGAUUGGUGGUGGAAAGUUUUUCGGCCAGGGAUGUGCUCGCGGCCUAUCAGCUUGAUGGUGAGGUAAUGGCUCACCAUGGCUUCGACGGGUAGCCGGCCUGAGAGGGUGACCGGCCACACUGGGACUGAGACACGGCCCAGACUCCUACGGGAGGCAGCAGUGGGGAAUAUUGGACAAUGGGCGGAAGCCUGAUCCAGCAACGCCGCGUGAGGGAUGACGGCCUUCGGGUUGUAAACCUCUUUCAGCAGGGACGAAGCGCAAGUGACGGUACCUGCAGAAGAAGCACCGGCCAACUACGUGCCAGCCGCCGCAGUAA